GCUAAUAGAAUUCUCUCUUGUGCUAGCUAGAGUGAAGCUAGAUAAUCUCCAAUGGCUCUUGACUUUGUUGUUUAACAGAGAAUCAUCAUCAAACAAAAUAAUAAUGUUGAAAAGGAAAAGGAGGAAAUCCUUGACCAUUUUUAAGAUUCAAUUCAAAAUGGGGAAAAGAAAACGAUGACAUAGCAAGAAUACUUGCCCUGAUAUAGACAGUUCUUAGCUUAAUCAAUAUUAACAAUUAUCACUGAUCUCAUCAAAAUAUUUAUGUAAUUUCAUUGUUCUUCCUGGAAAGGAAGCUCGCAGCAAAGUCGCAGCUGCUGGAUUCUUUGUGGUGGUUACUGAUUUUUUAUAUGGUGAUCCAGUUGAUCUAAGCAAGCCUGAUUUUGAUAGCCACGGACAAAGGACAUGAAGAUGCGAAAUUAGUAAUUGCUGCUCUAAGAAGUAAAGGCAUGAAUUCCAUUGGUGCUGCAGGUUCUUGCUGGGGAGGUGAGUCAUUCUCCCCCAUAGCUACGAACUUGCUCAAGUUGGAACAAGCUCAAAUCUAAGACAGAGAAGAAUUUAACGAGGUGAAGAUUCCAGUUGCUUUUCUGGGAGCUGAAAUUGACCGUGCUUCCACACCAGAACAAUUGAAAGAAUAUCUGCAAAAUCUCAGGUGAUGGGUCCUCAGUCCCAAGAUUGAUGAUUGUCCCAUAGAGGUUCUAUGGUUUAAGGAGAUGGUGUUUUUUUUUGUAACUCUUUUCAUCUCAUGACUUGGCAAAUAUUAUUUAGCAUUUUGGAUUCAAGUCUCUUUGAUCUUUCUAUGUCACGCCGCGACGAAAAAGCUGAAGAGGAUACUCCUGCUUCCCUUGCUGUUGAGGCUCUAAAUUUCAUGCUCACAACGCAUCAAACCUGAUUUCUAUAUUUUGCAGUUUGAUAGCCAUGUCAAAAUACUCCCUGGCGUCAGCCAUGGAUGGACAGUUCGUUACAAUGUUGAGGAUGAUUUUCAUAAAUAAUUUCUAUUUUUAAUCUUCGUUAAGAAUUAAACUCGUAAUUUCAUAA